UACGUAGGGUGCAAGCGUUGUCCGGAAUUAUUGGGCGUAAAGAGCUCGUAGGCGGUCUGUCGCGUCUGCUGUGAAACUCAAGGCGUUAACCCUGAGCUUGCAGUGGGUACGGGCAGACUAGAGUGCGGUAGGGGAGACUGGAAUUCCUGGUGUAGCGGUGAAAUGCGCAGAUAUCAGGAGGAACACCGGUGGCGAAGGCGG
rnacentral:rRNA from 1 species